GACGAACGCUGGCGGCGUGCUUAACACAUGCCAGUCGAACGGAAAGGCCCUGCUUUUGUGGGGUGCUCGAGUGGCGAACGGGUGAGUAACACGUGAGUAACCUGCCCUUGACUUUGGGAUAACUUCAGGAAACUGGGGCUAAUACCGGAUAGGAGCUCCUGCUGCAUGGUGGGGGUUGGAAAGUUUCGGCGGUUGGGGUUGGACUCGCGGCUUAUCAGCUUGUUGGUGGGGUAGUGGCUUACCAAGGCUUGGACGGGUAGCCGGCCUGAGAGGGUGACCGGCCACAUGGGGACAGAGAAAGGGCCCAGACUCAAACGGGAGGAAGCAGUGGGGAAGAUUGCACAAUGGGCGGAAGCCGGAUGGAGCAACGCCGCGUGGGGGAUGACGGCUUUCGGGUUGGAAACCGCUUUGGCCUGUGACGAAGCGUGAGUGACGGUAAUGGGGAAAGAAGCACCGGCUAACUACGU
rnacentral:rRNA from 1 species